rnacentral:rRNA from 1 species
UGAGACCUCAGGUCAGGCGGGACUACCCGCUGAGU